rnacentral:rRNA from 1 species
UACGAAGGACCCAAGCGUUAUCCGGAUUUAUUGGGUUUUAAAGGGUGCGUAGGCGGGUUUAUUAAGUCAGUGGUGAAAGCCUGCAGCUUUAACUGCAGAACUGCCAUUGAUACUGAUGAUCUUGAGUAUGAUUUGAGGUGGGCGGAAUGUGUCAUGUAGCGGUGAAAUGCUUUAGAUAUGACACAGAACACCGAUUGCGAAGGCAGCUCACUAAGCCAUAAACUGACGCUGAUGCACGAAAGCGUGGGGGAGCAAACAGG